rnacentral:sRNA from 1 species
UUCUAAAGGUUGCAGAGAACAAAGACAGAGGCUAAAUUCUGAUUCUGCAUUCCACAUAAAGAGGCCACUGGCUGAAAAUCCAGUUGGGAUGUAAUGAAUCCAUAGAUACAAUGAGGAUGUCAGUUUUAUCACCUUGACAGUGCCGCUCCUUGUGCAAGAAAUUCCUAGACCAUGAAAGACCAGGAGAGCAAAGAGCACAAGAUUUACUAAGCCCAGCCGUUCCACGUUACUCAUUGGGUCUGGAUAGAUGGUUCAGCAGUAAAUCACACCAAUUAUUCUUCCAAAGAACCUAGCUUCCAUUCUUAGUAUCAGUCUGGAACUCUAAUUCCAGAGGAUCCAAUGUCCCCUUUUGGCCUUACACUUGUACUGUACAGAUGGCAUAUACACAUACUCUCAUGUGCAUGCACAUAAAGAUAAAUAAAACAUGAUCUUUCAUAACAAGUGUCUUUUACAGAAUGUAUUUUUUAACGUUUUUCAC